rnacentral:rRNA from 1 species
AAAGCGUGCGCAGGCGGUUAUAUAAGACAGAUGUGAAAUCCCCGGGCUCAACCUGGGAACUGCAUUUGUGACUGUAUAGCUGGAGUGCGGCAGAGGGGGAUGGAAUUCCGCGUGUAGCAGUGAAAUGCGUAGAUAUGCGGAGGAACACCGAUGGCGAAGGCAAUCCCCUGGGCCUGCACUGACGCUCAUGCACGAAAGCGUGGGGAGCAAACAGGAUUAGAUACCCUAGU